rnacentral:rRNA from 1 species
AAUGAACGCUGGCGGCGCGCCUAAUACAUGCAAGUCGAGCGAGAAGACGUAGCAAUACGUUUGUAAAGCGGCGAACGGGUGAGGAAUACAUGGGUAACCUACCCUCGAGUGGGGAAGUAACUAGCCGAAGGUUAGCUAAUACCGCGUACGCUUCUUGGACUUCGGUUCAGGGAGGAAAGACGAUACCGUGGGUAGUCGCGCUCUUGGAUGGGCUCAUGUCCUAUCAGCUUGUUGGUGAGGUAACGGCUCACCAAGGCUUCGACGGGUAGCUGGUCUGAGAGGACGAUCAGCCACACUGGCACUGCGACACGGGCCAGACUCCUACGGGAGGCAGCAGUAAGGAAUAUUGCGCAAUGGGCGAAAGCCUGACGCAGCGACGCC